rnacentral:rRNA from 1 species
AUCUAUGGCCAUACCACCCUGAAUGUGCCUGGUCUCCUCUGAAACCAGAAGGGAUGUGCUGAGGGAAGGGUGGCAACCAAGCGUAAGGGUCUCUGUAGAGG